rnacentral:lncRNA from 10 species
CACAUAUUGUGGGAGGGACCUGGUGGGAAGUAAUUGAAUCAUGGGGGCAGGUCUUUCUUGUGAAGUUCUCAUGACAGUGAAUAAGUCUCAUGAGAUCUGAUAGUUUUAAAAACAGCAGUUUCCCUACACAAGCUCUCUCUUUUUGUCUGCUGCCAUCCGCAUAAGACAUGGCCAGCUAUUCCUUGCCUUCUGCCAUAAUUGUGAGGCCUCUCCAGCCAUAUGGAACUAUUCCUCUUAGGACUCUAGAUGCACGGAGAGUGGCCAGAUUAAUACAGACUGGCAAAAGAAGAACUUGGCAAAGUGAUUUGAUCACACACUUCUCACCCUCACAUCUCCUGACAGUUCCCCUAAUCCCUGCCCCACUUCCCCGCCAUGGGCUUCCAUCAGGAAACUCCUUGAUAUCAUCUUCGAGAAGAAAACUGAGGCAUAGAACAUUUGGGAAUGAAUCUAAGACUACACAUCUAGAAUAGCAGAGUUACAGGAAUGCAGAUGUGAUUCCUAUGGAUGAGGGUAACCUAGAGGCUAGAAGAACAAUAGGACAGAAGAAGCCUGGGUCCCUGAACAACCUUGUGGAGCAUAGACACCUACGUGGCCUGGACUGCCAGCUCACAAUGGGCCUCUCUGUGAGAGAAGGAAACUUCCCUCUUGUUUAAGCAACUGUGCUUUUGAGAAUCUCUUGGUCUAUACCCUAAUGAAUAAGGCCAUCAUAAAUGGAUAUCAAAGUAAGGAAAUUUGUGUAAAUGAUUUAAUAAAACAUUACCUCAGGUAUGAAAUAAUUCUACCUUGUGCCUUGACAACAUCAGGUAUUAUUCAUGCCCUUUUCUCUCCCUGUAAUGUCUCUUAUCCACGGGUAGAAAUUAUAUUUUCCAUCUAAGGUUUGCUCAAAUAUUAUCUACUUAAGUAGCUCUUACCAAUUUUGCCUCUCCUCCUGAGCUGACCCUAUGCCUUCUAUGCUGUUCCAGGUAAUAUUAAUCUCUUCCUUUGUACUUCUUUCACAGAACAUACUUUUUUGUCUAACAUAAUAACUAUAGGCAUAAGUGUAUAGAUUCCACUAGGGGCUUCAGAACAGAAACUAUCAUCUUAUUAAUUUUUUUCUCCCUGAUAUCUAGGGAAAUAUGUUAUAUAUAAUAGGCCCUUAGUAAUCCCAUAAAUGUUUGUGAGAUAUUCACUGACUAUAAGCCAUACUCUGUAUUUAUUUAGCUAAAACAGACGUCUUUCAUAUUUAGUUAGCAGAAAAUGCUCACAUUUACUCCUUUCCUGUUUACCAAAUGAAAGGGUAAUUGUUUUUUCACAGAUUGCACUAGAAAAGUGUCUUCUCUCUCUUUUUCAAAUAGAUUGUCUUUAAAACAUAUGACAGGAAAAGUGACUAUUGUUAGGAUAAGAUAAUUACGAUUGUAACAGCUAGUUUAAAAGAAGUGUCAGUUGCUCCUGUUUUAUUUUUCACAGGAUAGAGCUGCGGCCUGUCUCAGUAUGAUGUUUUCAGGAUCUGGUAUAUAUUUUUAUUUUCCUACAUGAAUCUUUCAUCCUUUUACUGACAUUUAUUCAUUUUAUCUAAUUAUCCUAAAAGGAAAGCUCUGGCCAGGCAAAUUGGUUGUUGUCUGCCUCUGAAGAGACAUUCAUAUCGCGUCGCUUAGCUUUCAAGUUUUGUGAUCAGGAACCCUCAGGCCCAUUUUUAAGGAGGUUUCAGGCUAGCUGAGCUUCACUGUCUCCCAAAAUGUACAAAAUGAGAUUACAUGAGGGACAAGAUCAAUUUACUGGAAGGUACUUAAGCAGUAAAUCUGGAGCUUUUUGUCCAGUCACUAUUGCUUUCAAGCUUUGUAGCAGAAAAUUAAGCCACAAGAGCUUUGACAAAUUAGAUAUUACUACCUCUAAUUGUGUAUGUUUAAGCUUAUCACACUGAAUUGCAGCAUUGUAACUGACUAUUAUGCCAACAAGGCCUUCGUUUAAUCAGCGCAGUGCCAUUUAAUCGCAAUUAAUCACUCAACUAAAAUGUCAUAUUAAGGUCACAGAAACUUGAAGGGCUAAAAGAAAAGAGAACAUUAAAGUCAGCUGAUGGAGGAAAAGAGCAUGGUGUGCCAAGGGAAGUUCUGAGCACUCUUUUUCAUUAGAAGCUGGUAGAACAUUUAAUGAGAAUUCAGUCUUAACUUUCAGCUGAGAUCAGAACAACGUGCC